GGCUUGGUGGUCUAGUGGUAUGAUUCGCGCUUAGGGUUAUAGCCUAAGCAUGUUUGCGCGAGGUCCCGGGUUCAAAUCCCGGCCAAGCCC